GAUAAAGUCAGCAGGGUGAGGGUGGGGAGCAGGGACUCUCUCCGAAAACGGGACUCAUCCUCCGUGUCGCAGGGCUGUGGGGAGAAGCUUUCAAUAAAUAUAUUUGGCCAUUCACCAUUUUAUGGAAUGGUAGAGAAGGGACCCCAAGGGUCAUCUAGCCCAACCUCCUGCAAUGAGGAAUCUCAAGGAUCAGGAUCCCCAUCAGGGCUUGAAGGACCAGUCCUGGCAGACUGACCAGAUUCAUGGUUGUUUUCAGGGACAGCUCAGGCUCCUCCAGGGAGAUUCAAGGCACAAAUUCUCUAGCAUUCUCUAGCAGAGAGGUGCAUAGAAGGAAUCAGGUUGCCAUAACUUGCAAUCAACAAGCGGAAAGGGAAACACAAGAAGAAACUUUCCCCAAAUGACAAGCAAGCAACAGAGGUGGGGGAGGGGUGGACACUGUCGUUCUUGAUCGGUGACUCCUUCCAUCCUCCUUCCAAGGAGGUUUCCACCCUCUGAGCAUGGACAGAGGGCAACUGGCAGGAAGAACAGAGCUUCUCCAUAUCCCAGGAUCCUGAUGGAGCAGCGAAGUCUAACUGAUGAGUCCUGCAGGCAGAGAAGAGAGAGA